rnacentral:rRNA from 1 species
GGAGGGCGCGAGCGUUGUUCGGAAUCAUUGGGCGUAAAGCGCGUGUAGGCGGCUUGGCAAGUCGGGUGUGAAAGCCCGGGGCUCAACCCCGGAACGGCACUCGAAACUGCUUCGCUAGAGUCCCGGAGAGGAGGGCGGAAUUCCCGGUGUAGAGGUGAAAUUCGUAGAUAUCGGGAGGAACACCAGUGGCGAAGGCGGCCCUCUGGACGGCGACUGACGCUGAGACGCGAAAGCGUGGGGAGCAAACAGGAUUAGAUACCCUGGUAGUCCACGCCGUAAACGUUGGGUGCUAGACGUCGCGGGUAUUGACCCCCCUGCGGUGUCGAAGCUAACGCCUUAAGCACCCCGCCUGGGGAGUACGGUCGCAAGGCUA